UACGGAGGGUGCAAGCGUUGUCCGGAAUCACUGGGCGUAAAGGGCGCGUAGGCGGCUCAUGAAGGCUGUGGUGAAAGUCCGGAGCUCAACCUCGGAUCGGCCGUGGCGACUCGUGGGCUGGAGCACUGUAGAGGCGGGUGGAAUUCCGGGUGUAGCGGUGGAAUGCGUAGAGAUCCGGAAGAACACCAGUGGCGAAGGCGGCCCGCUGGGCAGUGGCUGACGCUGAAGCGGCGACAGCGUGGGGAGCAAACAGG
rnacentral:rRNA from 1 species